rnacentral:rRNA from 1 species
UACGAGGGGGGCGAGCGUUGUUCGGAAUUAUUGGGCGUAAAGGGUGCGUAGGCGGUUCCGCAAGUCCUGUGUGAAAUCUUCGGGCUCAACUCGAAGUCUGCACGGGAAACUGCGGGGCUUGAGUAUGGGAGAGGUGAGUGGAAUUCCGGUGUAGCGGUGAAAUGCGUAGAUAUCGGAAGGAACACCUGUGGCGAAAGCGGCUCACUGGACCAUACUGACGCUGA